rnacentral:rRNA from 1 species
AUUGAACGCUGGCGGCAGGCCUAACACAUGCAAGUCGAACGGUAACACAGAGAGCUUGCUCUCGGGUGACGAGUGGCGGACGGGUGAGUAAUGUCUGGGAAACUGCUUGAUGGAGGGGGAUAACUACUGGAAACGGUAGCUAAUACCGCAUAACGUCGCAAGACCAAAGAGGGGGACCUUCGGGCCUCUUGCCAUCAGAUGUGCCCAGAUGGGAUUAGCUAGUAGGUGGGGUAACGGCUCACCUAGGCGACGAUCCCUAGCUGGUCUGAGAGGAUGACCAGCCACACUGGAACUGAGACACGGUCCAGACUCCUACGGGAGGCAGCAGUGGGGAAUAUUGCACAAUGGGCGCAAGCCUGAUGCAGCCAUGCCGCGUGUAUGAAGAAGGCCUUCGGGUUGUAAAGUACUUUCAGCGGGGAGGAAGGCGAUAAGGUUAAUAACCUUGUCGAUUGACGUUACCCGCAGAAGAAGCACCGGCUAACUCCGUGCCAGCAGCCGCGGUAAUACGGAGGGUGCAAGCGUUAAUCGGAAUUACUGGGCGUAAAGCGCACGCAGGCGGUCUGUCAAGUCGGAUGUGAAAUCCCCGGGCUCAACCUGGGAACUGCAUUCGAAACUGGCAGGCUAGAGUCUUGUAGAGGGGGGUAGAAUUCCAGGU